CUGCGCCGGAGGAGGGUGUUGAGUGAUGUUAUGCAACAAUUCAAUUUCUUAUAUAUAUAUAUGUGUGUGUGUAUGUAUAUAUAUAUAUGUUAAUUCCACUUCAGCCCUUUGAGAGAUUGAGGAUGCCAUACAUCAUCUGUUUACUCGAAUUGCAGAAAAUAAGUGAUUAAAAAUAAAGACGAUUGUUUGUAAGAAAUAUGCAAUGUUGUAUGUUCUCUUUUUAUGAUAUUUGAUUAGUGCAAAAAAAAAAAAAA
rnacentral:misc_RNA from 1 species